rnacentral:rRNA from 1 species
UAGCUAGUUGGUAGGGUAAGAGCCUACCAAGGCGACGAUCGGUAGCUGGUCUGAGAGGAUGGCCAGCCACACUGGAACUGAGACACGGUCCAGACUCCUACGGGAGGCAGCAGUGGGGAAUAUUGGACAAUGGGGGCAACCCUGAUCCAGCAAUGCCGCGUGUGUGGAGAAGGCCUGAGGGUUGUGAAGCACUUUCAGUGGGGAGGAGGGUAUUUAGGUUAAGAGCUAGGAUACUGGACGCUACCCACAGAAGAAGCACCGGCUAACUCCGUGCCAGCAGCCGCGGUAAUACGGAGGGUGCGAGCGUUAAUCGGAAUAACUGGGCGUAAAGGGUGCGUAGGUGGUUAGAUAAGUUAUCUGUGAAAUCCCCGGGCUCAACCUGGGCAGGUCAGAUAAGACUGUUUGACUCGAGUAUAGGAGAGGGUAGUGGAAUUUCCGGUGUAGCGGUGAAAUGCGUAGAGAUCGGAAGGAACACCAGUGGCGAAGGCGGCUACCUGGCCCGAUACUGACACUGAGGCACGAAAGCGUGGGGAGCAAACAGGAUUAGAUACCCUGGUGGUCCACGCCGUAAACGAUGUCAACUAGCUGUUGGCCUUAUGAAUAAGGUUAGUGGCGC